rnacentral:lncRNA from 1 species
CCCUUCGGAUUUUAUUACUUGUCCUAUAGUUCUCAUAACAAAACCACCAUAUAUGUACAUUACUCCACUUCAUCUAUGACAUAUAAUAAAUAAAGAGCACAGAAUUAGAGAAGGGAGCAUGAGGAGGGUCACCUCCCUUACUUUCUUUUUAUUUUCCCCCUUCUUUGUUUUUUUUUAUAGUUCAUGGCAGAUGACUGGAGUAUACGUCCUUGAAUCUUAAAAGAGUAAGGCGAACUCUUCCUUCACAUGCCCUCAGAGUCAUCAUGCACAUGGAAUGAAGUGGAAAAAGAGAAACGUACCCUUUACUCCAUUCUAAAGCUUCUCCACCUUCAUAAGAAGACAUUUAUUCCCAUCUCCUUCGGAUCAAAAGAUAAAAUUGCACCACAUUGAGAAUCUUCAUUGCAAAGGGUAAAAAUCCAUACAAAAAUUAGUUGGGG